GGAUGCAUAUCCAUGUGGACAAUAUAAACUGCAACCUAUGUGAAGAAGAGCAGCCGGAAACAAAGGGCAUUUAUUUGUUGACUAGGAUUUGAAAAAAGCAGUUAGGUGUGAGGUCAACCAAUGGAUAGGACAGAAAAUACAGAAGGUGAUUUCAAGCAAAUGCAGGAAACGAUUAAAAGGAAGCAGGGGAAAGAGUUUAGAAAAGAGGUGAUAGCAGCAGUCAAUGGAGCAGUGAUAUACCUAGAGCUGUCAAAUUUGGCCCAAGCCCAAAUGACCGGCCCAAUCUACCCAAGAUUGGGUUGGUAAUUUAUCCAGCCAUUUAUUGAACUUAGUCCAUCUUGACCCAACUGCCUUAUAAAAAGGACAAUGCGAUCGUUGCAAAUAUAAUCUGGUUUACAAGUCCGGAGUCGAAUCCCAUAGAGAACUAAGGUUUAGCUACAGUUGUUCACUAUUACCAAGAAGACAAGCUUGAACAAUUCCUAACUUAUAGAUA
rnacentral:lncRNA from 1 species